GAGGAUAACCGUUGGAAACGAUGGCUAAGACUGGAUAGGAAUAACGGGAGGCAUCUUCUGUAUUUUAAAAGACCUGGCAACAGGUAUGCUUGAGGAGGGGCCUGCGGCGCAUUAGUUAGUUGGUGAGGUGAUGGCUCACCAAGACGAUGAUGCGUAGCCGGACUGAGAGGUUGAACGGCCACAUUGGGACUGAGAGACGGCCCAAACUCCUACGGGAGGCAGCAGUAGGGAAUUUUCGGCAAUGGGGGGAAACCCUGACCGAAGCAACGCCGCGUGAACGACGAAGUACUUCGGUAUGUAAAAGUUCUUUUAAGAGGGAAGAAUGGCCCGUGGAAAAGCGGGCGUGACGGUACCUUUUGAAUAAGCCCCGGCUAACUAUGUGCCAGCCGCCGC
rnacentral:rRNA from 1 species